rnacentral:rRNA from 1 species
AGAGUUUGAUCAUGGCUCAGAACGAACGCUGGCGGCAUGCCUAACACAUGCAAGUCGAACGAGGGCUUCGGCCCUAGUGGCGCACGGGUGAGUAACGCGUGGGAACCUGCCCUGUGGUACGGAAUAACUCCGGGAAACUGGAGCUAAUACCGUAUGUGUCCUGCGGGACAAAGAUUUAUCGCCAUGGGAUGGGCCCGCGUAGGAUUAGCUUGUUGGUGGGGUAACGGCCUACCAAGGCAACGAUCCUUAGCUGGUCUGAGAGGAUGAUCAGCCACACUGGGACUGAGACACGGCCCAGACUCCUACGGGAGGCAGCAGUGGGGAAUAUUGGACAAUGGGCGCAAGCCUGAUCCAGCAAUGCCGCGUGAGUGAUGAAGGCCUUCGGGUUGUAAAGCUCUUUCGCACGCGACGAUGAUGACGGUAGCGUGAGAAGAAGCCCCGGCUAACUUCGUGCCAGCAGCCGCGGUAAUACGAAGGGGGCUAGCGUUGUUCGGAAUUACUGGGCGUAAAGGGCGCGUAGGCGGUACUUCAAGUCAGGCGUGAAAGCCCCGGGCUCAACCUGGGAACCGCGCUUGAGACUGGAGAACUAGAGUUCGGGAGAGGAUGGUGGAAUUCCCAGUGUAGAGGUGAAAUUCGUAGAUAUUGGGAAGAACACCGAUGGCGAAGGCAGCCAUCUGGACCGACACUGACGCUGAGGCGCGAAAGCGUGGGGAGCAAACAGGAUUAGAUACCCUAGUAGUCC